GCCUGGGUGGCUCAGUCAGUUAAGCAUCAGACUUCGACUCAGAUCAUGCUCUCCCGGUUCGUGGGUUCAAGCCUUGCCUCAGGCU
rnacentral:tRNA from 1 species